rnacentral:rRNA from 1 species
UACGAAGGGGGCUAGCGUUGUUCGGAAUCGCUGGGCGUAAAGGGCGCGUAGGCGGCUUUAUAAGUCGGGGGUGAAAGCCUGUGGCUCAACCACAGAAUUGCCUUCGAUACUGUAUGGCUUGAGACCGGAAGAGGUAAGUGGAACUGCGAGUGUAGAGGUGAAAUUCGUAGAUAUUCGCAAGAACACCAGUGGCGAAGGCGGCUUACUGGUCCGGUUCUGACGCUGAGGCGCGAAAAGCGGUGGGGAGCAAACAGG